ACCUGUCGUACAGGUAUAGCACACUUUAUUCCUGACACUCCUGGACAUGAUAUUCUGUGUCAGUAGCUGUAGUGAUCACACACACUGUCAUUAUGAUACCGAUUAGUGUGUACCAUGUGUUCAUGCUGCUAGGGCGUGUGAACAAUUGUUUGUCUUAUUUUAUUGUUGUGGCUGGUUGUCCUGCUGUGUGGACCAGUGCGUUCCUGCUAAGCAUCUCUUUAUCGUCUGCGUCCUCUGUUCACUGCCAACUUUUCAUAUCUUUAGCUGCAUGUUGUCAGGUGCCUCCAGUUCCUCCACAAUCAGCUCCGUAACGUGACACCGAGGCUGUGGAGGGAACACCAUCUCCUGUAAACUUCCUUCAAGUUGGAAUGACGGUGAAAUUCCAUCACAGGAACCAUUUCGGGAUCUCUGGAGUUUGGGUUAGUUUCCAUCGAAUGAG
ensembl:lncRNA